rnacentral:rRNA from 1 species
UCUUCCCUCUUUCUUCGUGCCUAAUACAUGCAAGUCGAGCGAACAGAUGAGGAGCUUGCUCCUCUGACGUUAGCGGCGGACGGGUGAGUAACACGUGGAUAACCUACCUAUAAGACUGGGAUAACUUCGGGAAACCGGAGCUAAUACCGGAUAAUAUAUUGAACCGCAUGGUUCAAUAGUGAAAGACGGUUUUGCUGUCACUUAUAGAUGGAUCCGCGCCGCAUUAGCUAGUUGGUAAGGUAACGGCUUACCAAGGCAACGAUGCGUAGCCGACCUGAGAGGGUGAUCGGCCACACUGGAACUGGGACACGGUCCAGACUCCUACGGGAGGCAGCAGUAGGGAAUCUUCCGCAAUGGGCGAAAGCCUGACGGAGCAACGCCGCGUGAGUGAUGAAGGUCUUCGGAUCGUAAAACUCUGUUAUUAGGGAAGAACAAAUGUGUAAGUAACUAUGCACGUCUUGACGGUACCUAAUCAGAAAGCCACGGCUAACUACGUG